GAUGAACGCUGGCGGCGUGCCUAAUACAUGCAAGUAGAACGCUGAAGGAAGGAGCUUGCUCUUUCCGGAUGAGUUGCGAACGGGUGAGUAACGCGUAGGUAACCUGCCUGGUAGCGGGGGAUAACUAUUGGAAACGAUAGCUAAUACCGCAUAACAGUAGAUGUUGCAUGAUAUCUACUUAAAAGGUGCAAUUGCACCACUACCAGAUGGACCUGCGUUGUAUUAGCUAGUUGGUGAGGUAACGGCUCACCAAGGCGACGAUACAUAGCCGACCUGAGAGGGUGAUCGGCCACACGGGGACUGAGACACGGCCCAGACUCCUACGGGAGGCAGCGGUAGGGAAUCUUCGGCAAUGGACGGAAGUCUGACCGAGCAACGCCGCGUGAGUGAAGAAGGUUUUCGGAUCGUAAAGCUCUGUUGUAAGAGAAGAACGAGUGUGAGAGUGGAAAGUUCACACUGUGACGGUAUCUUACCAGAAAGGGACGGCUAACUACGUG
rnacentral:rRNA from 1 species